rnacentral:rRNA from 1 species
UACGUAGGUGGCAAGCGUUAUCCGGAAUUAUUGGGCGUAAAGAGCGCGCAGGUGGUUGAUUAAGUCUGAUGUGAAAGCCCACGGCUUAACCGUGGAGGGUCAUUGGAAACUGGUCGACUUGAGUGCAGAAGAGGGAAGUGGAAUUCCAUGUGUAGCGGUGAAAUGCGUAGAUAUCGGGAGGAACACCGGUGGCGAAGGCGGCUUUCUGGCCAGUUACUGACGCUCAUGCGCGAAAGCUGGGGUAGCGAACCGGAUUAGAUACCCCUGUA